rnacentral:rRNA from 1 species
GAGUUUGAUCAUGGCUCAGAGCGAACGCUGGCGGCAAGCUUAACACAUGCAAGUCGAACGAUGUAGCAAUACAUAGUGGCGGACGGGUGCAUAACACGUGGGAAUCUGCCUUUAGGUGCGGAAUAACUCAGGGAAACUUGAGCUAAUACCGCAUAAUAUCUCCGGAUCAAAGAUUUAUCGCCUAAAGAUGAGCCCGCGUCAGAUUAGCUAGUUGGUGGGGUAACGGCCUACCAAGGCGACGAUCUGUAGCUGGUCUUAGAGGAUGAUCAGCCACACUGGGACUGAGAC